UUGAUAAACAUUUUAUGUUUCUUUACAGCAGCAGCAGCAGCUGGUUUAUUUUAUGUAUUUAAUCAAAGAAGUGCUUUGUAAAGCUGUUCUGUGCUCUGGUCCAUUAAUAAGUGUUUUCUGUAGAGUAGGAAAAAGUUCAGCUGUGCUCACAUAGCUACACUGUGCAUGCUAUCCUGCUGCACCACAGGGGGAAUUACAUUUGCAAACAGAAAAUAAAAACAGAAUGGCAAAGAGGGGAAAGAAAACACUCUUUUUAGUUCCUUGUCUUGCAGACACAUCUCAAAACACUGCAGGGAAAUAACUGAAAAAAUGGUGUUAGCAACAGCCCUUCAGAAAUUGCAAUGAUUUGCAUCCAGCUAACAGCCGAUGCACACAACUGUAUUUGGACUUUAACUGCAGGGAAGGUAGCAGUGCCAGUACUGUCAGGAGGCAGUGGGGCCACGUGCACAAUGGCUGAAAGAGCGACCACCCAAAGUGACACAUUUCAGAAUUGAAGAUGCACAGAGACCUGUAUCAGUUGACCUCCGCCUGUGACCAGCGGCGUAAAGAGUCACUAACUCAGGAAGAUCCAGAAACUCAGGCUCUGGAAUUCACCCAUGACUAGCAUGUGAAUGUGUUACAUUUUGGGUACCACAUUCAGUGAAGGGGGGCCUGGCUCCGUGCAUCUUCAGAUUAUUCUUCUGCAUCUCGAAUAACUAAUAAUCUGAGUUACGCUAACUAUAAAACAUAGUAGCCAAUAGAAUCAGAGCCUGGGGUUUUAGUCCAUUGUGAAGAAGUAACACUUGCUGGCCAGCAUGAUCUCUAAUAUAUUUUAUUAGCAUGACGUAAUUGCAUUUAUGCAAGGUGCCUAUGCCAACUCAAACUCACCAAAAUCAAUAUUGACUCAUAAACUCUCAGUACUCUUCUAAAUAAACUGAAUGUCUUAAAAAAACCACACUCCCACACCCCCAGCAGAAACAAUAAGAAAGAAAUAAAAUGCAGGUAGGUGAAAGCCAGUGAGUGCUGAGAUUUUUUUUUACACGACGCCAGAUCUAGAGCGUGCGUCUGUCUCCAUAGCCCCACUGACUUUGCGGAGCUACCCUGAUUUAAAGCAGUUAAGUAGCUGGCUCUAGCUGUUUCAGUCCUUCCUUUAUUGCCUUACCAUGCCAGGCUUAUGGAACAGACAGGAGAGAUGAAGGCUUACAACACUUGAAAAUGAGCUGAAAUUUUGCAGUGCUGGUUAAGUGUUUAACUGCUCGUCAAGGUUAACAAUGUGUUUAGUGUGCACACAUGAGGGAAAUCUUAAACAAGUGGAUUUACAGAAACAAGCCUCUGCUAGAUUGAGAGUAUAAAGGUCUAUAGCUACAAGUUGGAAGAUAAUUGCUUGAAAACAUUGCUAUAAAAAUAAACCAUAAACCUCCAUGACCAGCUUCAGAUAAUGUCAUGGGAACAGGCUGCAUGCCAAGAAACAGCAGGGAAGGUAAGAGCUAACGCUGGCUCCUCUGUGUCCAGCAGCACUCCAGCACGGACUGUCCACUCCCAGCCCAGCUGGAUGCCCAAGUCAGGCUUGUCUGGCCAGAAAAUGGCAUCCUAAAAUGGGAAUAACAGAGAAGAGAAUCAGGCACCACAGCAUCUAGACUCUACAGCAUCUUAGAGGAAGGAUUGCUCUAAACAGAGUUUCCAUCCUCAGAUUUCAGAAAAAAACCUUGCUCCCUUUUCAAAUUUUCUCUUCUUCUUCUCCUUCUCCUUCUUCUUCUUCUUCUUCUUCUUCUUCUUCCCUUCAUGUCACAUCUAACUAUCCCAUGUGACAGCUGACACAUGGUGCCAGGUUACAGCUCCUUCAGUCUUCAAUAAUUCAGUUCCAUAAACUUUGAUGGAAAAAUCUGCCUCAUUGGCCCAUCCCUACAGAGAUGUUUAGAGGUACAUUUGUCAUUAAGAAGGUAUAAUGACACUUGAGCUGGCAAAGGCAGUUUGUAUUGGCAUUUUGGGCAUCAAAUGGGGAAUAACAACAUAAAAACAGUUUGGCAACAGCCUGUAGGAGUUUGCCUCCAGAGCGUAUUGGCAGUAGGUUAUGUCCCUUCAGCUAGCGGACGGGAUGCUGCCAGGACUUCCACUUUUUUCCUACCAUCUUUUUGGCCUUUCGAAAUUACUCACAAUCCCUUUUCUCCUGGAAAGCAGUAAACGGCAAGUAAGCAGCAUGGUUUCUGUGUCUGUAGGUUUGAACUUGUCUUCCUCUCCAGCUUCUUGCCUGGGACAUAAUCUGAGAUAUUUUUUAGCCUAUUAAAAAAGAAUCAUUAUAAUUACUGUUCAUCAUCAGUAUCUUUGAUACUGUUCAAAUUUAUAUAUUUACAUCAGAAACAAUGUAUUACCCUCACUGUAACCUUUGUUUAAGGUCACUAUGUAAGGAAAUAUUUUCAAGUAUUUUCAACGUGGGUGUUUUUUUCAGGUAUAAUACAAAAAAACAUGCUAUAAUGUUGCCCCUAAACAUGAGGUAACUAUAAUCAUAUUGUGAUAGACAAUGUGGCUUCUAAGGUCCUUUUGGGAAAUGAUGUUCUGCAAACAAAAAAUCUAGAAAUUAACUUUAUUUGAAAGCUGAUUUUCUUUUAUGUUCAUAUGAUGUCAGGACUUGGGGCUUUAAAGGAAAAAGUCAAAUUACUGUAAACCUGUGAGACUCACCAACCCUGCAAUGGCCUCAUCCUUUGCUCUGACAAUAUAAAACGCCUUUCCAGGGCAUCUGCAUCAUGUUUGCAUCUACUUUAACAUACUUUGAUGUUUAUUGGCAAAGUGAGGCCCGUAGUUUAAAUAAACAAUCUGCACUUCUAUCUUUUACAGUAAUACAGUAUCACAUUUCAGCCUUGAAGAAUAAACAUUGUUCAGUGGGCUCCAAUGAAAAGGUAGUGGAGAAUCAGAAAUAUUGGCUAAGCCCUAAAUGCCACGAGAGAGUGAUUUUUAAUGGGAAUCUGUGGUUUGGGGAAGGAAAAACUUGGCUGAGGUUUUUCUGCAACUUGGCCGUUUGAUCCUGUUUGGAAAGACAGAAAGACAAACUGAGCUGACAGGUGAUUUUAAGGCCUCUAAAGCCAUGUCUUGAGGAAAAAUAUCAACCCUUGCUAAGCCUGCUGGCUUGUACCUUUAGCAGCAACAUUAAACCCUUCAGGGAAUGAAGCUCGCUGGCAAUCCUCUGAUACUCGGUCCCACAGCAGGUGGGACAGGGGACCUCAGUGCAGUCUGACAGCCAUUCAAAACUAAACAGCACAGUGUUGAGUUCUUCUGUAAAAUGAGUUGAUGGAAACUGUUCUUUUCCCAGUGAGUGGAGGAUUAAUGGCCCGGUGAACACUGGAGCCAGUAGCAGGUAUUACACUGACUAACCCCCUGUACCAGGGUCAUAAGGAGCUCAGAGAAUGAGGGCUUGUGCACCCACAUCGAGGUUUUCAUUGUACCUGUUCUGUACUUAGGUAUCAUGUUGCCUUCCUUAGGGUAGGCCAACCAGCACAAACGGUUAAAAAUCACAUAGCUGUCAGAGGUUCAUACAUGGGACAAGGAAGCCACUGGGACCUGGACAUAUGAAGAAAACAGUCUGUUUUCACCCUUCCUGCUUUUUUUUCUUUGUAACAACCCGAAAUAUUUCAUGGCAGCAUAAAGACAACAACAGAGAAAGGGAAUCCUAGCAAUGUUUAUUUUAAAAUGUCUUUCCUUCCCACACGAGGUCCUUUAAGACUGGCAAGCAAAAAGCUCUUGUCGACCUUCCACUCCAUUUAUUUCUCUGGCUCCACAAUGUACUUUCCCUCCUUGCAUCCUUCUGCAGCCCACUGCUGGCUCUUUGUUGUCUGGAGAAUCACUAGGAUUCUAACUUUUUACCUAAAUUGCUCAGUGGAAAAAUAUCAGAAUAUUUCAUUUCAUCAGCUUGAAGUGCUUUGCUUCUAUAUAGUUGAAGCACUUCAGCUGUGGUAUUUUUACUUCAGCAAAACAACAAAACACACUAAACUGUUUCAAUGCAAAAAGACUGAAGGUUGCUGUGGUUGUCUGUUUGAGGUAUUUCAUGUCAUGAACAAUUUUGACUUUUUAUUCUGAUUCUGAGCGAAGGGAAAAUUCUUUUUCUUUUAGGGAAAAGAAUUUCCCCCUAAAAGUUUGAAACAGAAAUUUCAAAUUUUGUUCUGCUCUAAUGAAAAUAGUUAUUCUCCAGUCACUGAUUGCUCAUAUCAAAAUUACAGUUGCUUCACCCAGAAUUUCGUAUUUUGAUUAUCAUUGGCCAUAUCACGAUACAUAUAUUGACAGGUUUCUGCAAAAGAACUGCUGUCUACAGUCAAGUUACCUUCAGUUUUAAAAAUCAUGGAAAUCUGCGUUUGUCUUUGCCUGACCACAUCUUCUUGGGUUUGAAACAUUGCUUAAAACUGCAGCCAUUCAACAAAAUGAACAACUCUAAGGUAGCUUGCCUGACCUUUCAGUCUACUCAGACGGAUCGCUUAAGGCUUGCCCAGCCUCCCGUCAGCCUGAAAUCACAGCAGCCAGCCCUGUGGUGUGGGCCCUGCACACAUGAGGGUGCCACCUGCUCCGCUCCCCUCUCAGCUGGUCACGGGAUCCCCAAACCACAGGAAACCUCCCAGGGCAAAGAGAAUGGUCUUUCUCUUUUUUUUUAACCUGUCCCCAUCAUGCUGUCCAACUCCCCAUCACCGUUCUCCACGCCAUGAUGCCAGCGUGUGAGCCUGGAGCCCCCGUCCCCUCUCAAGCCCUAUGUGGGGCCACAUAGAGGCAGGCUGGGUGACUCCGAGUAAGCUUCCAAGCCCAUGCCUGGCACCUGAGAGGUCUCUGUCAUUCGCAGGAUAAACAGAGAGCUCAAGAGCAUGUACAGGGGUCAAAACCAGCCUCAUUCAGUGAUGGAUGAAACUUCUGUCCCAAAGGGUUUAGAGGUGGCAAUCAAGUAGUGUGAAAUUAUCUUCUAGCUGAAUGGCAAGGCAGCUCAUGUCAUCCCAGUGUUCCGUAAACUGCUUCAGAACCAGAGCAGGGAUCUGACUUGGUUUUUGUCCUCAUAUGAGCAAAGCUACAUAGAUGAGUCAUCCAGGCCACCAGCCUUGUCUCACAGCCCAGAAAAGGCUGAAUUUACACACCCCUCAACCUUUUCUAGACUUUUCUCUCUGGGAAAAAAAAUGAAAUUGCUCCAGUAAAUGACUAGUAAUUGAAAAGUACCUACUGUUUGCUGAGUGGCUGCGUGCAGCUCAUUAGGCUUCAGAGGGGUGAAAAGCCCUUUUGCAGGUGAGUGAAAAAAAGUGCAUUUUUUCCUCAGCUGAUUCACCCUCGUCUAAUUUCAUCAUGACAAUCCAACAAACGCUAUUAAAAUAAAAUAAAUAAAACUAAACUAAAACAAAAAUUCUUUAAAAACUUAACUGCAGUUAUAGCUUCUAUGGAAUCAGCACUACUUUAAAAUAAAUUGGACUGCAUUUAUCUUGUUUGAUUUCUGUUUACCUCAAGUUGCUUUUCAUGCCAAAAAAAAGCAUGUAUAUGAUCAAAACACAAACAACUUUCUGAAGCAAAUCUGGGAAUACUUAGAAAUGUUGUAGCUAUUUUGCUUCCAAGGAAGAACUUUAGCAAGCCUAGGAAUUCUUGCUGUUGUUGACCACAGUGUGUCUUCUUGGCCUUUCAAGGUCACAAAAGUAAGGGCCGAAGGGAUGAUGAAUUUCUACAACUCAACGGCCAUCCCAUUCUCUGUAACCAAGAUUUUCAUCCCAGCAGAUUGGCACCAAGGGAGUCAGCGUAGCCAGUCUGUCCUCAUUUCUGUAAUGUAAUUCAUGACCUUUGAAAGAGAAAUCAGCUGAAGCAUCAGGUACAGAGAUAAGGAGGGAAAUAUUUGUGUUGUGGAUAUGGAUCAUUGGUUUGAAACCUUACUAUGUCCAAAACCAGCCAAAGGUACUGCACAAAUAAGCAAACUAUGAAAUAUGAAAGCCUCAGUAGAAAAAUAAUGGAGGGUUCCUUGGUUCUCCUCAUGCCCUAAUGAAAUCAGUUUAAAGCCAUAAAACUCCCUCAUUGAUUCCAGUGGGGAAAACACCUGGAGGGUGAAGAAGGUCAAUAAAGGCACAAAGAUAUGCUGAAGAAGGACUUUUGGCAUACCAGCUCCAACUGACAUGUGCUUUCUCACGUGGGCAGAAAGGCCCACUGCCGGUGAGAGGACCUUGCUCUGAACGUGUGAAGGAAAUGCGGCUGGGAAGAAGCAGGAGAUAUUGGACUCUGGGCAUCAGGGAGGGAAAGCAAUGUGGAAUGCAACCUGCACGUGUGUGAGCUGACUCAUUGUGAUUCAUAGGGAAAAAGAAGAAAACAUUACAGAGGAAACCUUCAUAGUUUCUUAUUUUUCUCCCCAUGAGCUGUUGAAUGAACAUGGGCAAUGAAAAAAAAAAAAAGAAAA